GGAUUAGGCAUGCAAGUCGAGCGAGGACUUUCCCCUUCGGGGGAAAGAGCCGGGCGGCAAAAGGGUGAGUAAUGCACAGAUAACCUGCCUCUGGAAUGGGGACAACGGCGCCCGCAAGGGCUUUACCGAAAGGGCCGCUAAUACCCCGUAACGUCACUGGUUGCAUGACUGGUGACCAAAUGUGCCCACUUCGGUGGGUUUCGCCCAGAGAGGGGUCUGUGUCCCAUCAGCUAGUUGGUGAGGUAAAGGCCCACCAAGGCGAUGACGGGUAGCCGGCCUGAGAGGGUGGUCGGCCACAUUGGGACUGAGUCACUGCCCAAACUCCUACGGGAGGCUGCAGUCGAGGAUAUUUCGCAAUGCCCGAAAGG
rnacentral:rRNA from 1 species